UACGGCCUGAGAAUUUUGUUCCAGCACCGGUGUGAGGAAAACAUCUGAGCCCAUGAAUUGCCAGACCCUGGAUACCUGAGACACAUCCACUUGCUUCUCAGAUUGGACAUCUGUGGGCUUCCCUUUGCUAUGACGUUUGGAGUGCAUAAUGAGGAGAAAUAAAAACAGAAAGAUCUCCAGAAAGAAGCCAUGGUAAGAUUCAAGGUUUCACAGUCCAAGCUAAUGCCUGUGGACACUUGACCAAGUGAUCUGAGAAAAUUGGAUUUCUGGCAAAACAAGUGUACCUAGACUCAGGCAAGGGUGGAGAACAGAGGGCGACUAGAUUAAAUGGAAAGAAUGCCCAGGCAUCCCAUUGCCUCCCUUUGACGUUCCAGAACUUCAUCAAGACAGUGAUGAGCUACAUGUACACCUGGAGGAGGACCAUGCAGAAUACCAUCCAGCGCCAUGAACACUAGUCAGUCAGUCAGUAAUGGUGGGCUUCUUGGUGUGCUCCAGCUCAAUUUUCUCAUGUUUGAUGAUUAGUUCAGGAUCAAGCUCAGAAGCGCACAGCUGCCAGCAAGCAGUCUACUACUGAACUGCACCAUCUCUCCAGCCUGUGCUUACUCUUGAAUAGCCCCAAAGUAGUCAAUGG
ensembl:processed_transcript 5530601H04Rik RIKEN cDNA 5530601H04 gene